rnacentral:miRNA from 12 species
AUAAUUAUUACAUUUUAUUUUUAGCAAACAUCUGUUUGCUGUUUAUGUAAUGCUGGUUAAAAAGUAUUGCUAAUAUUACUUUUUUGAUAAGAUUUGAAGCUUUCACCAA